CAAGAUGUCUGUGAUAUCAUUGUCCUUCAUCCAUUGCAAGCUCUGGUGGAACUCUUCAUCCAAGUAUUCCAGAUCACUGAGAUCACAGGGACUAGACAAACAUGGGUAUAAUCUGAGGAGGGCCUUAUAGAAUGGUCGUGUGAAGAAGGCAUCCAGAAGAUACUGGUGAAUAAGAGCAAGGCCAAGGAUACGCCCACUAAAUCGGAACCUGGAGCACAAGAGAAAUGAAUCAUAAGCCGAAGGAAAAGACAGGAGGGCAGAUGCAGCUACCCCUCCAUACCAUCCUUUCCAUUUCACUAGGACGUGGGCGGAAUGCGGGAGAGACAGCCACCCUGCCAGGGGUGCGGGGGACUCCUGGACAUUUCAGCAGAGUAGCUAACUAUGAUACUUGUUUUGGUAUAAGCUUAAUAUGCAUUUCAAUGCAUUUGCAAGUGUCUUGUUUAUCUGUGUUUAUUAAACAUAUGCCAAUGGCAAAACAGGAGUGAAUAUAGAAAUGCAAAUGUUGAUACUUUUUAAUUGCGUCUCUUGGCAAUUAUAAAGCGUUACUUUUGAGAUGAAUGCAAGUGUGGGUUCGGAUUUACCCGGUUUUACCCAGAUCUCAAAUUGGCAUCUUACUGGCUCUCGGUUGUCACGUGUUUUGGAUAGCCAAUAAGAAAAAUCUGGAUAAAUCCGAACAUGCAUUAAUUUUGGCGUUAAGAACCGAGUAAAUCAGAACCCGCACAUCUCUACUGAUUAAACGUCCACCUAUUGUGUACUGUAUCAAUGCCUAUUUCUCUAUAGACAGGGCCGUCUAUUUGUAUGGGCUCAAUGGGCACUUGCCCAAGGGCCCCAGAAGUAUAAGGGCCCUAGGCAGAUAGCUGAGGGUCCCCUCUUUCCAGGGGUACCAGAUUUAGAAAAUCGGCCCUGGGGAACCGGAGAUAUCUGACUUCAAAGCAGUUGUCUCCAUCCGAGCCUGUUAAUUGCUCUUCCCAGCCAGAUAUCUCAGGUUCUAUCUGACGUAGUUUUUCUGAAUGUAUUCUCCAAAUGCUGGGACUCUCCCCUUUCACUGGACACUGGCAGCUUGUCUCUACUAUGCCCAGAAUCAGAGAUAUCAGCCUUCCAGCAGCUGAUCCCCGCUCCAGCUCCACAUGCCUGGUAUACAGUUUCAUAUUUUCGUUGGUGGAUUGCUCUGGCCUGCACUCUUAUCCUCAAGUGUCCAAUACCUCCUGAAAGGUGUGGCUUUCUAGUGUUUUUAUCUAAUUGAAAGCUAAGAAAUCUAUUUCCAGGAACUGGAGAUAUCUGCAGACAAGCAAGCUGCCCUCCCACCAGAAAAUUAUGAAUAUUAAGCUAACUCCACUAUCCACCCCUCAUCUGCAUAUUAAACACUCCCUUCCACCCUGGAAGUCAGUGUUCUCCCUCCCGCCCAAUCUCCCACCAUCUGUGCGUAAAGUAAUAAUUAGCAGAAAUUACUCCUCCAGGUCCUACAUACUGAGCGGAAGAUAAAAUACCCCCUACCACCUGCAGGACAUUGAAGCUGCCACUGAUAGCACACCCCACCCCUACCGCUGAAGGAUGGGUAGGGGCUCCAGUGCAUUGCUGCACCCAGGGGCCUACACUGUUGUUAAGACUGCCCUGUCUAUAGAUUAUAAGCUUGUGAGCAGGGCCUUCCUGCCUCUAUGACUGUUUGUCAUUACCCAGUUUUGCUUUAUCAUUGUUUCCAGUUGUAAAGCGCAAUAGAAUUUGCUACGCUUUCUAAGAAACUGCUAAUAAAUAAUAAUAAAUAAACGUGUUUAACUUGCGUUAUAGGCAUCAUAGUAACACCAGUAACGAUAUAGCCAAAAUCAUACAGCACGAUAUAACUCUGAGAAAGGGGUCCAGGGUAAG